rnacentral:piRNA from 1 species
AUGUUGUUCAAGGGCCAACUGUGUGA